rnacentral:rRNA from 1 species
AUGAGGCGCCUCGUGUUCGCGGAGCUGGUGGUCCUCCUCGCCGCGGCGCUCCUGCUCCCCGUCGUCAUCUGCUGCCGGCGCUGGAGCGGCGGCGUCGCGCGGCCGCUGCCCGUCUCGGAGCAGCCGGGCGCCGGCGCCAGCAGGAAGGAGCGCCGCGUGGAGCGGCUGCGGCGGGCGCUCCACGCCCUGCGCGUCUGGUGCCGCCGCUCCCGCGUCGAGCCGGCGGCCUCUGCCUCCGCGUCCGCGUCUCCGUCUCCCUCCCCGGACGACGGCGCGCAGGCGCAGCGGGAGGUUCAGCUGGAGCGGUUGGCCCCGGCGGCGGCGGGGCCCGAGGAGGAGGGCGUGGCGGCGUGGCGUGAGCGCUGGUUUGGGCCGACGGGGUCGCGCGCGCUCUACACCAUCGAGGAGGCGUCGGAGACGGAGGGCGACGUGGAGAGCCAGCACGGCGCCGAGCCCGAGACGCCGUUCUACACGCCGCCGGCCUCGCCGGCGCACGACGCGGAGCAGCCGGAGCGCGGCGAGAGCAGUUAG